AUUGAACGCUGGCGGCAUGCCUAACACAUGCAAGUCGAACGAGUGGCGGACGGGUGAGUAAUGUCUGAGAAACUGCGCGAUGGAGGGGGAUAACUACUGGAAACGGUAGCUAAUACCGCAUACCAUCGGAUGUGCCCAGAUGGGAGUAGCUAGUAGGGGGGGUAAAGGGUCACCUAGGCGACGAUACCUAGCAGGUCUGAGAGGAUGACCGGCCACACGGGAACGGAGAAACGGUCCAGACUCCUACGGGAGGCAGCAGUGGGGAAUAUUGGACAAUGGGCGCAAGCCUGAUGCAGCCAUGCCGCGUGUAUGAAGAAGGCCUUCGGGUUGUAAAGUACUUUCAGCGAGGAGGCGUUACUCGCAGAAGAAGCAACGGCUAACUCCGUGCCAGCAGCCGCGGUAAUAC
rnacentral:rRNA from 1 species